AGAGACAUAAUGUUUUUCGUAUUCGCAACUGGAUCACGAUAUUAAGCAUUACAACUCCAGUGCUUUUCCUUAGCUCAACUGAAUAACAUAAGCCAUAUUGUUAAGUCUCACAUAAAAAAAGUCUCGAGUGAGGAGAGGCUGGGGUUUUGGAAAAAGGGUUGUUUGAUUGGCUUGUCUCGCGGUGCCCUUGCGUUGGCGCUGGCUUCUGGCCUCGUCAACGUCAGGUUGGUGCGGCUAGAUGGGUUGCCUUGGUCUAGUGGUGGCAGGCUUCACGGGCCUGUAUUUUGGUGGAGGAAUUAGAUCGUGUUUUCACUCAGCGUAAGGGAGUUAUGGCAUCUCAAGCAAUAAGGCUACCGAGAUCUGGCAUUGGUAUGGAGUUGGAUCCUCAGAGGGUGGAGGGCCUGGAGGCAGUGUCUUGCAGCGAGGCUGCAAACAGCAGUGGCUUCGGGCUUGCACAGAACGACGUCGUUUUUGUGUCCUCGCAAAAUAGCGGCGGCUCUGUCACUAGAAGGGGCUUUGAUGUUUGUGUCAUAAAGAGAAGAAAAUGGAGCUAAAAUGAGCAAACAAGGAUUGAAAGGCGACUGCAAUCCCAAGUGACAGAACCUGCCUCUGCAGAAUAUCCAAUUUAGCUGAAUUACUGGAAAUUACUCAGAUCGAAUCAGACUAUGAGCCUUAUAUUAUUGGAAAGCUAUAGAGGUCUAAUUUCUGUAGAAUUUUACGGAUCUCGAUUUCGAUACUUCUAGACCGAGUUAUGAUAGUUUGAAUGGAGAAAGGUCAGAUCAGAAAAUCUGCUCGGAUUUGCAGACAUUUGUGGAGAACUCAAGUUCCGUGUCACAAGACCGUCAACCGUAAUGCUUCAAGGACCAUGAUGCAGAUGAGGAUUAAUCAAGGAGUACAUGUAUUCCUAGUUCUACAAAAGAUAUCUCAAGAUUUUCCCAUUCCAUAAAGGAGUCAGAAUCUAAGUUCUACAAGGAAAUUUGAAGUCAAAGAUGAGCAGAAAACUUUAUUUAAAAGAGCACGAAUUUUACAUGAAAGAGAGGUCUCGAAAGCACAUUGAAUACACCUAAAGAAGCACAGACCAUCAAUCCAUCCAUCUUCCUUUCCCCUUUCCAACUUUUCUAUGUUUUAUUUAGUCAUGUUUUGUUAAACCUUUUCUAGGGUUAGGAUAAUGCCCUAACAUGAUUGUUUAUAUUUUCAAUGAUUGAUUAAGAGAUUUA